rnacentral:rRNA from 1 species
UUUUUAUGGAGAGUUUGAUCCUGGCUCAGGACGAACGCUGGCGGCGUGCUUAACACAUGCAAGUGGGACGAAGGUUCUUGUCGGAAGGCUUCGGCUGGAAGAUAAGGAUACUGAGUCGCGGACGGGUGAGUAAUGCGUGAGAACCUGUCUCAAAGAGGGGGACAGCCCCGGGAAACCGGGAUUAAUACCCCAUAUGC